CAAAUUUGAAAGCUGGUACCUUCGGUAUCCGCGUUGUAACCUCGAGACACGUUUUCCGUGCGGCGCUAUGGACAAGUUCCUUGGAACAGGACAUCGUAGAGGGUGAAAAUCCCGUACUUGCCAUGGAUGUACCGUGCUUUGCGAUACGUGCUCUAAGAGUCGAGUUGUUUGGGAUUGCAGCUCAAAAUGGGUGGUAGACUCCAUCUAAAGCUAAAUAUCGGGGAGAGACCGAUAGCGAACAAGUACCGUGAGGGAAAGAUGAAAAGCACUUUGGAAAGAGAGUUAAAAGUACGUGAAAUUGUCGAAAGGGAAGCGCUUGAAGUCAGCCAUGCCGCUCAGGACUCAGCCUGGCUUUUGCUUGGUGUAUUUCCUGGGUAGCAAGUCAGCAUUGGUUUGGAUCGUCGGAGAAGCAUAGUCGGAAUGUGGCGCCCUCGGGCGUGUUAUAGCCUUCUAUUGGAUACGACGAUCUAGACCAAGGAACGCAGCGCGCCUUAUGGCGGGUCUUCGGACACCUUCGCGCUUAGGAUGCUGGCGUAAUGGCUUUAAGUGGCCCGU
rnacentral:rRNA from 1 species